rnacentral:rRNA from 1 species
ACUUUGUGGCCUGUCAUCGGAAUGGGUACAAUUUAAAUCCUUUAACGAGGAUCAAUUAGAGGGCAAGUCUGGUGCCAGCAGCCGCGGUAAUUCCAGCUCUAAUAGCGUAUAUUAAAGUUGUUGUGGUUAAAACGCCCGUAGUUGAUUUUUCGACUCUGGCAGUCGGUUGCCCGAAAGGGUCUUACUUGGCUUGUCGAGUCUGAAUUUGAGUUUUCUGCUGCUGCUCUUUAUUGAGUGACAGUAGUGACUCAACGUUUUACUUUGAAAAAAUUAGAGUGCUUAACGCAAGCUGUACGCUUGAAUAGAGUGCAUGGGAUAAUGGAAAAGGACUUCAGUUCUAUUUUGUUGGUUUUCGGAAUUGAAGUAAUGAUUAAGAGGAACUGACGGGGGCAUUCGUAUUGUUGCGUUAGAGGUGAAAUUCUUGGAUCGCAGCAAGACGAACAACUGCGAAAGCAUUUGCCAAGAAUGUUUUCAUUAAUCAAGGACGAAAGUUAGAGGUUCGAAGGCGAUCAGAUACCGCCCUAGUUCCAACCGUAAACGAUGCCAACUGGCCAUUCGUCGGUGUUAAUUUAUGACCCGACGGGCAGCUUCCGGGAAACCAAAGUUUUUUGGUUCCGGGGGAAGUAUGGUUGCAAAGCUUAAACUUAAAGGAAUUGACGGAAGGGCACCACCAGGAGUGGAGCCUGCGGCUUAAUUUGACCCAACACCGGAAAUCUCACCCGGCCAAGACACAAUGAGGAUUGACAGAUUGAUAGCUCUUUCUCGAUUUUGUGGGUGGUGGUGCAUGGCCGUUCUUAGUUGGUGGAGUGAUUUGUCUGGUUAAUUCCGAUAACGAACGAGACUCUGGCCUAUUAAAUAGGAGCGAUAUUUUUGGUAUCGUGUCCUUCUUAGAGGGACUGGUAGCUUCUAGCUACACGAGAUUGAGCAAUAACAGGUCUGUGAUGCCCUUAGAUGUCCGGGGCUGCACGCGCGCUACAAUGAAGGUAGCACAGUGCAAAUUACCUUGUCCGAAAGGACUUGGCAAUCACGAAUUACUUUCGUGCUUGGGAUAGGGGAUUGCAAUUAUUUCCCUUGAACGAGGAAUUUCUAGUAAGUGUGAGUCAUAAGCUCAUGUUGAUUACGUCCCUGCCCUUUGUACACACCGCCCGUCGCUACUACUGACUGGAAGAUUCAGUGAAACUAUUGGACCGGGUCGAGAUUGGCUUCGCGGCCGAGCUCUGAUCUAGAAAGAUAGUUAAACUGUAUGUUCUGAAAGAAGUAAAAGUC